GAGCCAAAGCCACCAAUCCGCCGCCUCAGAGAGGCCCGGCUCCUCCUCCUCUGCCCUCCUUUCCCCUUCAUCAGCAGCUUCCUCCCGCUGCCAUGGCCACGGCGCGGGGCUUUCUGGGAAGUGUAGUCCCUCGGGAGGGAAAAGGCUCCGCGCGUCUCCUCAUGAUGACGUCACUGCGUCCGCGCCGGAAGUCUUUCCCUGUGCUGCUGACUGAGUGGCUUUGGCAGCAGCUGAAGAGAGUCCCUCCCUUUGAUCUCUUACUCUUCAAGAUUGAAACAGCCAAAAGGAAAUGUGGGAACCAAAGAGAUCUACAACUUUCCAGCAGAGCAGCCACACAGAAAUACAGACAUCUUGAGUAAUCUGGCAAAAGAAGAGUUUCUUACCUGGCGAAGGGAAUCCUGGGCUGCCAAGU